rnacentral:lncRNA from 1 species
GAGGAGUUGGAACAUCCACUUUGAUGUUAUAGUCAAAGAGUUUGGCUUUAUCAAAAAUAUGAAUGAACCUUGUGUAUAUAAGAAGACUAGUGAAAGUGCUAUUGUCUUCUUAGUUUUAUGUGGAUGGCAUACUUCUCAUUGGGAAUGAUAUCCCAAUGUUACAAUCGGUCAAGACAUGGCUACAAGUAAAUUUUUCAUGAAGGAUUUGGAUGAAGCAUCCUAUAUAUUAGGUAUAAAAAUAUAUAGGGAUAGAUCUAAGAGGAUGUUAAGCUUGUCCUAAUUCAGGUACACAGAUUUUGUACUAAAAAGGUUUAGCAUGGAUGGGAGUAAAAGAGGUUACUGACUCAUAAGUCAAGACAUAAUUCUCUCUAAAAAGAUGUCUCCUAAAAUAUUGGAAGAGAAAAAUAGAAUGAGUUCUAUUUUUUAUGCUUUAGUAGUAGGGUCAAUUAUGUAUGCUAUGCUAUGUACCAGGCCUGAUGUUGCCUGUACCUUAAGCAUAGUUAGUAGAUUUCAGGCUGAUCCAGGUGAGAAUCAUUGAAAAGCAGUAAAAAAUAUUCUUAAGUACUUAAGAAUAUUUUUCUGAUAUAUGGAGGAUCUGAUCUAAAACUAGAAAGUUAUUCUGACUCUAGUUUUCAAUUAGACUCUGAUGAUAGCAAGUCCACUUCAGGGUAUGUCUUUACUCUAAAUGGUGGAGCAGUAAGUUAGAAAAGUUUUAAGCAGCAGAUUGUAGCUGACUCAACCACUGAGGCAGUAGAUAGUGCAAAUAAAGCCGCUAAGAAAGCUGUCUGGAUGAAGAAGUUCAUCACUGAAUUGGAUGUCGCUCCUAAAAUUGAGAACACAGUAUCAUUUUAUUGUGAUAAUACUAGAGCAGUUGCUCAAACGAAAGAAUCGAGAUCUCAUCACAAAUCCAAGCACAUUCUAAGGCGCUUUGACCUUGUUCGUGAAAUAGUCGAAAGACAAGAUGUAGUCAUAGAACGAGUAGAUACAAAGAACAACAUAGUAGAUUCGUUCCCUAAGACUCUACUACAACAGCAGUUCGAUCGCCACCUCGAUUGUAUGGGAAUAAAAUAUAAGGGCGAUUGAUUUUAGUGCAAGUGAAAGAUUGAAAGGAAUAUGUCCUAUAAGUCAAUUGAAAUUUGUAUUUUGAUGAAUUUUUCUUGUAUCUUCCAGACUCAUGUAAUUAAUACUUUAUAAAUAAAAGGCAUUUAUUUUUCAUCAUAUGCUGCAUCUUACUUUUGUAAUGAUUAUGAUAAANNNNNNNNNNNNNNNNNNNNUUGAACAAAAAUAAGUGCAAUGGAAAAUGAGAUUGAAUAACUUAAAGAAGCAUUUAUACAAUCAUAUAAUGGGGAAUGCAUGUGACUAAUGCACAUGGCCAGAAACUUUACAAUGUCGAUUAGAUUUUUGGGCUUUGAGGCUUCUACAUAUUUAAGACCUUAUAAAGGUAAGUAAGAAUCCUUCACCCAACGAUGUGGGUCUAAUUUAUAAUAUGCAUGAUAAUAAUACUUUUCAAGUGUGCAGUAUAUAUAAACUACUGAAAGGAAUAUGUCCUACAAGUCAAUCGAAAUUUGUAUUUUGAUAAAUUUUUCUUGUAAUCUUUCAGACUCAUGCAAUUGACACUUUAUAAAUAAAAUGCAUUUAUUUUUCAUCAUAGACUGCAUCUUACUUUUGUAAUGAUUAUGAUGAACUCCAUAAAUCAGGACAAUGGCUUUAGGGUUAUGAUGAGAUCAUACCUAUGAGACCUAAAAUUCUAAAAAUCCUGAUUUAGAAUAUUCCUAGUCAUAGGAGUAUUGAGUAGGAGAUCAAUAUUUCGGAUAGACUGGCACUUCCUAUGUAUGCUCGAUGGAGAAGGUGACUGAUCUCAUAAGCCACUUGUGUGAGAUAUUAAUACAAGGAUCUGGGUACUCAUUAGAAAAUGAGUUCAUUGAAUUGAUCCGAUUUAAGAAACAUCUUAUGGAAUCGACUUACCCAUCAAAAGAUGUUUUCUUAUAGUGGGAGUUGUGCAUAUAAUUUUUUGACCUGAGACUACUAUAGAAUCUUGUACACAGGAAUCUGUAUUUUGGUUCAUACGCAUUCAUGACUUAGUCAUGUACGAGGUGUUCUGGAUAUGAUGGAAUGUGUAUAGAGGUUGUGAGUAGGUCAACAUAGAAUCGAUCACUCCUGCUAAGAUGAGAUUGCAUCCUACUCGCUCUAAUUGACUGAUGAUUCAGAGAGUCUUUGAUCAAAGCAAAAUAAAAAUUAGAAAGAGUUUCUAAUAUUUUAUUAAUUGAAUCAUCAUUAAAAAUUAAGAGAAAUAUGAAUAUGAUAUUGGAUUUGACAUCAUUUUAUAUUCAGAGUCAUAUUCGGGAUACAGGUUGAUCGUAGGAUCGAAUUGUACGGUAACUUUUCAUUGAGGGAUAUUUUUGAUAUUUUUAUCAAAAUUUCAUAUCUUUCAGAUAGACAUGAUACGUUGCUAGAUGUCUAUCUUGUCUUGUGGGUUUGAUCGAAUUAAAGAGUUUAAUUCGAUCGCCGAUUAAAAAAGAUUGUAAUUGCUGAAAUUGGGUUAGUUCGAUUGGAUCUAAAUCGAUUAAAUUAGAUUCUAAUCAAAUCAGAUCAACUUACAUCUAGACCUACUAUUGGUUAGAUGUGGAACCCAAUGGGUCACAUGCAAAGAAAAUUGAUCAGACGUCUAAUUGGAUUAGAUCAUGUUUGCAAGAUGAACAUGCAAGCACAUAUUGCGAACGCAAGCUCCUUGUUUCGAAUCGGAUUCGAAUUUGGUUUCAGAUUGGACUAAUUAAAUCCAAUUAAACUCAAACCAAUUUUGGUUUCAAAUUGGGUUAACCCUUAGCUGAGUGAGUCAAGUUUGUUGGUGCAUAAAAUCAGAUUUUCACAUUCACAAAAUAAUUUUUUGUCACGUGGGAAAGUUUGUUGGGAGCGCAGAAUUCAGAUUGGCGUCUCAUGAGAUGGGAUGCCCCUUUCCUAGCCUAUCUUUUUUGUUUCACAUUGAAAUUCAUAUGGGGCGUGGCAUUUUAAGUUGGCUUCAGAGUUUUGGUUGAAUGGAUGGGAUUUGAUCAAGUUAGACUUGAUCUUAUCCAAAACCUAGUCGCCCCUAUCAAGAUUGGCGGCCUCUUAAAUUAAUUCAUGCCAAUUCAUCUCCAAAUUUUUUCCACAUCUACUUCUGAUUAGCGCCUCCCUUGUGAACCAUUGGAUGGCUUUGUGCGCUGAUCAAGGGUGGAGAAGUGAGGCACCAAUUAAAAAAGUUGCGCGACCCUUCGGAGAAACACCACAUAAUUUUUUUCGAAGAGUCCUUCUGCGUGAAGCGACUCUUGGAAUUAAUUCUGAUGCUUCCACGUAAGAGAUCAGACUUGGACCAACAUGUGAAGGGUGGAAGGUGUGAGAAUGGGCGUGAGAAAUUGCUUGGAAGGGUGCAAGAUGAUUGGAUAAGCGUUCGAUCUCCAAAUAUAAAAGGGGACGCACGCCGGGUUCCGAUUCAUUCAAAAAAUCAUAAUCUCUUCUUUCUUACACAAGUCUCCCCUCUUGUCCAAUUAUUCCUUUCCUUUCCUUGUUAGGACAAGUCCUAAAAUAGUCAGGACAAGUCCGAUUUUAGGACAAGAGCCUAGGAAGAGAUAUAAGGAAGAUAAAGAGACAAGAAAGGUAGAGAUAGGAAGGCUAAGAGGAGAGGAAGGAGGUCCUGAAGUUCUGCUGCUCAAAGAAAUUCUUAGAGUGAGAAUUUUAUAGGAAGAAUCAUCUUAAGGAGUUGGUGUCUUGAUCAAAGUCCUAUGUAGAUCAUCGUUGGAGGGCGAAUACUUAGGCGCUUGGUGGAGGUUCUGUCGGAGUUUUGGAAUAAAUGUUGCGGGUAUUCUUUUAUACCUAGAAUUUUGUUAUGAAAAUGUUUUAUAUGAUUGUUAAUCAUCAAGGAGAUGCUGGUUAAGGGUUUAAUGUUUAUGAUUUCAUAGUUUAAAUUUUUGAAAUCCGUGCUUCUGCUAUACCAUCAUAACCUUAGAGUGGUAUCAGAGUCGGUCUUGUUUGGUUCAAUCAUAUAUAAGAUAAUAUUUAUGUAAUGCAUACUAUGAUUCGUGUUAUGCAGAUGUUCAUAGUUUAAAAUUAAUUAUGCUUGAAUUAUGCUUUCAUAUUUUUGAUAUGAAUUGAUACGUAUAUGAUCCAUUACUUCAUCAUUCUGAAAUAAGGUUGUCCUAGCAUAACGGGGUUAUGCUGCAAGAUUGUCCUGGAAUGAUGAAUGUUCAUAUGUCACAAUGGCACAUAUAAAAUGUUUAAUGCUAAUAUAUAUUAGUGUGCAUUAGCAUUAUGAAAUUAGAAUGUGCAUGAGACCAAUGAAGUCCUUAUAAAAUUAUAUUAAGUAGUAGUGAAAGCAACUAUAGGUUAACCAAUUUUUGAUCAAUUGAUUAAUUGGUGUCUAGAAAAGUGCUAAAGGUGGUUCUUUAAUUGGUUCCGUUAACUGACCUGAUCAAUUUAUUGGUGUCUAAGGAAAGCAACGGGGGGACCCCCACCUGCUUACCUGGCCAAUUUGAUUGAGCGAUCUUGAAAUUAAAAAAUGCUAAUGUUGAAAAUACUACUAGGGGCCUUCCUUUAUGUUAGGUUAAUGUUACAUCGUGAACUAUGGCAAGUUUGUUGUGUUACCACAAGGCUUGCCAUGGGGACUGAUAUAACAUAAUCCUGAUGCAUAGAAGAUGUUUACGGCAAUUUUGGGUAUACUGCUUUAUUGUAUUACCAUAAAAGCAGUAAUAUUCGAAUUUGACUUUAUUGAAAUGAAUGUUCGUACUUAACUAAAAUAUUAUAGCUUGUUGUGUUAUCACAAAGCUAAUAAUGUUUUAGAGGCUAAGAUAAAAUUGAAAAUUACAUGAGAUGCAAUUUGAAAUAGUUUCGUACCUAUGAACUCAUAAGGAUUUGUUGUGUUACCACAAGAUCAUUGUGAGGAAUUAGGAUCUCAAUCCCACUAAGAUAAAUAUACAAUAUGUCUCGUUCAUCAUAGUAGAGGGUUAUGAUGUUCGAUAAAAUAGUGGGAGGCACAAUUAAAUCUAAAAGAUCUUAUUUAAUUGUGUUAGUCAUCAUGAGUUGUUUGUUUAUGUUAUGUUCUUUAUUUAUUGUAGAUUAAAUUUUAUAAAUGGCAUCUUCAUUAUUUUUGUGAGGAAUUUUAGAUUCCAACAAGUUGACCGGUCUCAAUUACGUGGACUGUUUGAGGAAUUUAAAGAUUGUACUCACUCAGGAGAAACUCUCUUACAUUCUUGAUGUUCCUGAACCACAAGAAGUUGGGGAUGAUGCCACUGAGAAAAAGGUAUCCACGUACAGGAUGUGGAAGAAUGACAGUUUAACUGUCAAAUGCAUCACACUGACCUUUAUGAGCAAUAAAUUGCAAAGGCAAUAUGAGAGUAUGGAUACUCAAUCCAUACUCCUCAAUCUUAAAGAGUUGUAUGGAGAGCAGAGUAGGACUUCUAGGUAUGAGAUAUCUAAGCAGUUAUUUCGUGCUAGAAUGAAUGAAGGAUCAUCCGUACAAGAUCAUGUCCUUAAAGUCAUUGACUUGAUCACUAGAUUCGGUCAAUUGGGUUUUGUGAUGAAUGGAGUAUUGAGUCAGAAUUUGAUCCUGCAAUUUCUCUCUGAAUCAUUCACUCAAUUUGUUGUGAAUUAUCAUAUGAACAAACUGAAUACCUCUUUGCCUGAGUUGUGAAACAUGCUUAAAACAGCUGAGAGCCACAUUAAAAAGGAAAAAGGCUCCAUUUCUUCUUAUGGAUAAAAUUUUUAAGAAGAAAUCAUGCAUUAAGGGUUCAAAGAAAGCAUUGAACCCUAAAGGUAGCAAGAUGAAGAAGAAGGGGAAAAAAGUCUCUGGACUAGGUAUUUGCUUUCAUUGCGGCAAAGUAGGACACUGGAAAAGGAAUUGCAAGUUUUAUCUUGAAACUGUAAAGACUGGUGCAAGCGACGCACAAAGAUAUGUACGAGAUACAUACAAUUUUGUUAUUAAGUUCUUCCAAUUCAGAUUCUUGGGUAUUAGAUACCGCCUGCGGUUUUCAUAUAUGUAAGUCAUUGCAGGGGCUGCAGAACAUUAGAGUUUUGAAGAAGGAUGACUUCGAGCUCUACAGUACUAGAGGAGAGUUCAUCCAAGCAGAAGCUGUAGGGACAUAUAUGUUGAAGUUACCUUCUGGAAAGAUCUUAGAGCUGGAAAACUGUUACUAUAUGCUUAAGAUCAUUAGGAAUAUUAUUUCUGUAUCGUUGCUAUUGCAACGAGAUUUUGAAAAAAAUGGAAAGAGCAAUAGUUGCUCAAAUUUUUUUUCUAAUAAAAUUCUCUGUCAUGGUAUUGUUAAUAAUGAUCUUUUGGUUUUAUCUAAUGACAAUGUUUUUCAUAUUGAUAAAAGCAAAAAAUGAAAGAGAGAAGAUAUAAAUAAUAUUUUACUUUGGCAUUGUCGACUUGGUCAUAUAAGUGAGACAAGAAUUAACAAGUUAUACAAAGAAGAGUUCUUUGAUUCUUAUGAUUGUGAAUCAUUAGGAACUUGUGAAUCUUGUCUUAUAGGUAAAAUGACCAAGACUUCAUUUAGUGGACAUGGAGAAAGAACAAGUGAGUUAUUAGGACUUGUACAUACUGAUGUAUGUGAUCCUAUGACAACUGAAACCAGCUUAUUUUAUUACAUUCACUGAUGAUUUAUGUAGGUUUGGAUAUGUGUAUCUUAUGAAACACAAAUUCGAGGUCUUUGAUAAAUUUAAAGAGUAUCGAAGUAUGGUCGAGAAAUAAACUGAAAAAAAUAUUAAAAUCUUUCGAUCUGAUCGAGAAGGAGAAUACUUAUCAAGUGAAUUUCUAGAUCAUCUUAAAGAAAAAGGGAUUCUCUCAAAAUGGAUCCCUCCUUAUACAUUGCACUUGAAUGGUGUAGCAGAAAGGAGGAAUCGCACUUUAUUAGAUAUGGUGCGGUCCAUGAUGUGCCUUACAGAUUUGUCUUUUUUUUUUUCUGAAGAUAUGUCCUAAAAACUGCUGUCUAUAUCCUGAACAGAGUACUUUCAGAAUCUGUGUCAAGCACUCCAUAUGAGAUAUAGAGAAGUAAAAAACCUAAUCUUAAAUAUCUUAAGAUUUGGAGCUGUUCAGCUUAUGUUAAAAGAAAUUUUGGAUAUAAAUUGAGUGCUAAGACAGAUAAAUACUUAUUUGUAGGUUAUCCAAAAGAGAGUAUGGGAUACCUCUUUUACCAUCCUACUGAGCAAAAGGGUUUGUCAGUAAACAUGCCAUUUUUAUGGAAAAGGAGUUUACCUAGAAAGAGGCAGUGGGAAGAAAAUUGAAUUGGAAGAAGUUCAGGACCUACAAAUAGAACUACAAGAUGAUUUUCAACCAGAAGUACCCAUUGAUGAGGUACAACCAUAAAAUAUACCUCUUCUUCGAAGGUUAGAAAGAGUGCGAAAUGCACUUUUGAGGUAUGGAUUCAUUAUUGAAAAUAAUGAAGCCCACAUCAUUGAGAAUGACAAAUCUUUGACCUAUACGGAAGUUGUUAUGAGUAAGGACUCAAAUAAAUUGUUAGAGGCUAGAAAUCCGAAAUGGACUCAAUGUACUUUAACCAAGUAUGGACUUUGAUUGAUGCAUCAGAAGGUGUGAUCUCUAUUAGAUGCAAAUGGAUCUAUAAGAAAAAGAUUGGAGCAGAUGGCCAAGUCAAAACUUAUAAGGUCAGAUUGAUGGCUAAAGGUUUUAGGCAAAAACAGGGUAUUGAUUAUGAUAAAAUAUUUUCAUCUGUUGUCAUGCUCAAAUCUAUACGGAUUAUGCUUGCUAUAGCAGCAUACCAUGAUUAUGAAAUAUAGCAAAUGGACGUAAAGACCGUCUUUCUUAAUAGUUAUCUUGAGGAAAAGAUUUACAUGUUUUAGCUAGAAGAAUUUAUCUCAAGUGAGAGAACAAAUCAAGUAUGUAAGUUUAAGAAAUUCAUUUAUAAAUUAAAGCAGGUUUCGAGGAGUUGGAACAUCCGCUUUGAUGUUAUAGUCAAAGAGUUUGGCUUUAUCAAAAAUAUGGAUGAACCUUGUGUAUAUAAGAAGAUUAGUGGAAGUGCCAUUGUCUUCUUAGUUUUAUAUGGAUGGCAUACUUCUCAUUGGGAAUGAUAUCCCAAUGUUACAAUCGAUCAAGACAUGGCUACAAAUAAAUUUUUUAUGAAAGAUUUGGACGAAGCAUCCUAUAUAUUAGGUAUAAAAAUCUAUAGGGAUAGAUCUAAGAGGAUGUUAGGCUUGUCCCAAUUCAGGUAUACAGAUUUUGUACUAAAAAGGUUUAGCAUGGAUGGGAGUAAAAGAGGUUACUGACUCAUGAGUCAAGACGUACAUCUCUCUAAAAAGAUGUCCCUUAAAAUAAUGGAAGAGAAAAAUAGAAUGAGUUCUNNNNNNNNNNNNNNNNNNNNCGUUCAUUAAGGCUCUACCACAGCAGCAGUUCGAUCGCCACCUCGAUUGUAUGGGAAUAAAAUAUAAGGACGAUUGAUUUUAGUGCAAGUGGG